UCUUGUUAUCUAUUUGAAUAUGUACAAAAUUUCUGGUUUUGCUCCUGAUCGAAUGGCCAGUUUGUAGACCAUUAUGAGUUUUAUCUGGCCCUGGACAAUCACAUGAUUGUGGAAAUGCUCCGUAUCGACCUCUCCUACCUCUGCUCUUGCUGGAGGAUGACAGGCUGACCCACAGUAACGUUCCCAAUUUCACACAGAAUGCUCACCGAUGAUCACAAGCAAAUUGAUCCUGCUGUUUUGGCAACCUUGAAAAAACUACAGGACGGUUACUUUGGAGGAGCAAGAAAUCUUUCGGCAGCAGACUACACAGUGGAGUUCAGAAUGCUGGCAGCACAGAGUGGAUGGAAUGAUGUCUUGCUGAAAGCAGUUUUCCAGCGGAGCCUAACUCAGGAACUUCAAGCAGAACUGGCCUGCAAGGGAACCUAUGCAACUGUCUCUCAAGGCUCUCUGAGAAGGAGAGCAUUCAACGACAACAGCACAACUUGUGUUUCUAUUGUGGAGAGUCUGGACAUCAUAGGUUGAAAUGCCCAUACAAGACGUUCUCCAAUUCCACACCCUGGUGCUGAUUAACUCUGGAGCUGCCUUAAACCUCAUUCACAAAGACAUCAUCAAAUACAACAUUCCCACUCAAUGUUGUAAACCACCUAUCAAGAUCCGAGCAGUUAAUAACUCACCCAUUGGAGACGGU
ensembl:lncRNA